GAAAUAUCCAGCCAGGACCCAUAAGGAGUCAGCUCCCGUCUCCUCUGUGCUGAGUCACAAGGAUCGCAGCUCGAGGAAGCUGGAGAUGACUUGUGAUGGGGUUACCACGCAGGGGCUCC
rnacentral:precursor_RNA from 8 species